rnacentral:snRNA from 1 species
UUGCUUUGGCAGCACAUAUACUAAAAUUGGAACCAUACAGAGAAGAUUAGCAUGGCUCCUGUUCAAGGAAGACACACAAAUUCGUGAAGCAUUCCAUGUUUUU